UGGGGAAUUUUCCGCAAUGGGCGAAAGCCUGACGGAGUGACGCCGCGUGGGGGACGAAGACCUUCGGGUUGUAAACCCCUGUCAGAGGGAAAGAAGGGUCGCCGACCUAACACGUCGGUGAUUUGACGGUACCUCCUCAGCAAGCACCGGCUAACUUCGUGCCAGCAGCCGCGGUAAUACGAAGGGUGCAAACGUUGCUCGGAAUUAUUGGGCGUAAAGCGCACGUAGGCGGUAUUGCAAGUCGGAUGUGAAAUCCCUCGGCUUAACCAAGGAAGUGCAUCCGAAACUGCAGUACUUGAGUACGAAAGAGGAUCGCGGAAUUCCCGGUGUAGAGGUGAAAUUCGUAGAUAUCGGGAGGAACGCCAGUGGCGAAGGCGGCGAUCUGGGUCGAUACUGACGCUGAGGUGCGAAAGCGUGGGGAGCAAAC
rnacentral:rRNA from 1 species